rfam:Oscillatoria nigro-viridis PCC 7112, complete genome.
UAACCAGAACAGGUGUUUUGCUGUUUUACUUGUGAAUCGCCAACCUCAGGAGAACGGUGUCCGGGAGGCGACUGGCUA